AGUGAACGCUGGCGGUAGGCCUAACACAUGCAAGUCGAACGGCAGCACAGUAAGAGCUUGCUCUUACGGGUGGCGAGUGGCGGACGGGUGAGGAAUACAUCGGAAUCUACUUUUUCGUGGGGGAUAACGUAGGGAAACUUACGCUAAUACCGCAUACGACCUACGGGUGAAAGCAGGGGAUCUUCGGACCUUGCGCGAUUGAAUGAGCCGAUGUCGGAUUAGCUAGUUGGCGGGGUAAAGGCCCACCAAGGCGACGAUCCGUAGCUGGUCUGAGAGGAUGAUCAGCCACACUGGAACUGAGACACGGUCCAGACUCCUACGGGAGGCAGCAGUGGGGAAUAUUGGACAAUGGGCGCAAGCCUGAUCCAGCCAUACCGCGUGGGUGAAGAAGGCCUUCGGGUUGUAAAGCCCUUUUGUUGGGAAAGAAAAGCGGCAGGUUAAUACCCCGCUGUGCUGACGGUACCCAAAGAAUAAGCACCGGCUAACUUCGUG
rnacentral:rRNA from 1 species